GCCUGUUUAACCAAAUUUAGUGGGUGUUAUUGUCGAAGCGCAGAUUAAGCAUGUCAUGUUAUUUUUCGUAGGUUUUCUACAAUAUAAUUUUAAAAGUCACUGCUCUUUUAAACUAGCUUUCGGUAUAAUUAUAUACAAAUCAAUACAAAGCGUUGCCUCUGUUUCAUAGACUAUUUUCUCCGUAUGUUAUUGCUUGACUUUGCCAAGGAUAUCGUGCGCGGCAUCACUAGUUAAAUAGCUAAAGACUUCUACUUAAUAGUUGUAAAAAAGUAGCAGCUAGUCAAAAAGUAAUUCUUGUUUUUACAUUUUUUCCUAGAAAACUAUAUAUUUGUUUGUUUUUCUUUAUUUUAAAAUUUGAACCAGUUUAUUAUUUGAUGUAUUUGAUGCGGACCCUACAGCCAUUCAGGUGUAAAAUUC
rnacentral:lncRNA from 1 species